rnacentral:rRNA from 1 species
GAUGAACGCUGGCGGCGUGCCUAAUACAUGCAAGUCGAGCGAACUGAUUAGAAGCUUGCUUCUAUGACGUUAGCGGCGGACGGGUGAGUAACACGUGGGCAACCUGCCUGUAAGACUGGGAUAACUUCGGGAAACCGAAGCUAAUACCGGAGAGGAUCUUCUCCUUCAUGGGAGAUGAUGGAAAGAUGGUUUCGGCUAUCACUUACAGAUGGGCCCGCGGUGCAUUAGCUAGUUGGUGAGGUAACGGCUCACCAAGGCAACGAUGCAUAGCCGACCUGAGAGGGUGAUCGGCCACACUGGGACUGAGACACGGCCCAGACUCCUACGGGAGGCAGCAGUAGGGAAUCUUCCGCGAUGGACGAAAGUCUGACGGAGCAACGCCGCGUGAGUGAUGAAGGCUUUCGGGUCGUAAAACUCUGUUGUUAGGGAAGAACAAGUACAAGAGUAACUGCUUGUACCUUGACGGUACCUAACCAGAAAGCCACGGCUAACUACGUGCCAGCCGCCGCGGUAA